rnacentral:lncRNA from 1 species
CGCGCUUACGAGUAGAUAUGAUAGCUUGGAUGUUGCGCGCCUUAGAGGAAGCCCCUGCCACCGCCGUUUGCUUAAACAAUCCUUUACGCACCACCUUCUUCUUUUCCACUUCACCCGGGGGUUGCUCCUUUCCCUCCGUUUCCUCAUUGAUUUCUUCAUCCUCUUUAACCUCAGGGAGCUCUUCCUGAACCUGUUCAUUACUCACCUCCACCUCACCAUCAGAUAGAUUCAGAAACCCAUCAUCACUAGCCUCAACAGUUCCUAAAACAUUACUC